rnacentral:rRNA from 1 species
UACAGAGGUGGCAAGCGUUGUUCGGAAUUACUGGGCGUAAAGGGCGCGUAGGCGGCCUUCUAAGUCAGGCGUGAAAUCCCCCGGCUUAACCUGGGAACUGCGUCUGAUACUGGGAGGCUUGAGUAUGGGAGAGGGAUGUAGAAUUCCAGGUGUAGCGGUGAAAUGCGUAGAUAUCUGGAGGAAUACCGGUGGCGAAGGCGGCAUCCUGGACCAUAACUGACGCUGAGGCGCGAAAGCUAGGGGAGCAAACGGG